rnacentral:rRNA from 1 species
UACAGAGGUUCCAAGCGUUGUUCGGAUUCACUGGGCGUAAAGGGUGCGUAGGUGGCGCUGUAAGUCGGGUGUGAAAUUUCGGAGCUUAACUCCGAAACUGCAUUCGAUACUGCGGUGCUUGAGGACUGGAGAGGAGACUGGAAUUCAUGGUGUAGCAGUGAAAUGCGUAGAGAUCAUGAGGAAGACCAGUGGCGAAGGCGGGUCUCUGGACAGUUCCUGACACUGAGGCACGAAGGCCAGGGGAGCAAACGGG